AUUGAACGCUGGCGGCAUGCCUUACACAUGCAAGUCGAACGGUAACGCGGGGCAACCUGGCGACGAGUGGCGAACGGGUGAGUAAUGCAUCGGAACGUGCCCAGAAGUGGGGGAUAGACCGGCGAAAGCCGGAUUAAUACCGCAUGAGACAUGAGGGUGAAAGCGGGGGGUCGCAAGACCUCGCGCUUUUGGAGCGGCCGAUGUCAGAGUAGCUAGUUGGUGGGGUAAAGGCCUACCAAGGCGACGAUCUGUAGCUGGUCUGAGAGGACGACCAGCCACACUGGGACUGAGACACGGCCCAGACUCCUACGGGAGGCAGCAGUGGGGAAUUUUGGACAAUGGGCGCAAGCCUGAUCCAGCCAUGCCGCGUGCGGGAAGAAGGCCUUCGGGUUGUAAACCGCUUUUGUCAGGGAAGAAACGCUCUGGGCUAAUACCCUGGGGUAAUGACGGUACCUGAAGAAUAAGCACCGGCUAACUACGUGCCAGCAGCCGCGGUAA
rnacentral:rRNA from 1 species